GGGGCUGUAGCUCAGAUGGGAGAGCGCUGCAAUCGCACUGCAGAGGUCUGGGGUUCGAUUCCCCACAGCUCCACCA
rnacentral:tRNA from 1 species